GCUGCAGGACGGUGUGCGCAGGGUCGGCCCCGGCCGCCGCCGCUCUAGGCCUCAGGCGUCCACCUCAGCUGCACUUCCGCCGGCGCUGCGUGUUUGGAGCAGUGUUCCGCUCUCGUGGCUGCACUUUCCGCGUGUCCUCCCAAUCUGCCGGCAUCCGCGCACCUCCGCGCCUUCCCACACUCUUGGCUGUAUCUCCGCCGUUGUCCCCUGCGGUCUGUUGCAGCCUCCUCGGCCCUGCGCAGAUGAAGACCCUCCCCCGGACGGCUUUGCGGGCCCUGCCUCAGCCGGCGCCCCCUUCUCUCCUGCAGGACCCGGACCCGCGCUGCAGGGGCUGAGUGCCCCCUGGGUAAGUGCUGCUGCUCCUGGGGCUGUGGCCUUCCUGCCCCAGCGCAGCGGGGUGGUUCUGGGGCUCCGGGGGGCGGGGGGAAUGUGGGAGUUGUCUGCCAAGUCCUGGUGCAGGAGGAUGGGGCUGGGACUGGGGGCCAGAAGGGCCUGGGGUCAGAGCCUGACUCAGCUCGUCGUUAUCUGUGGGAUCUGGGGUGAGUUAUUUCUUUCUCCUGAGCUUUACUUUCUUUGGAGUGGGAGUUGGGGCGGGGGGCAGAGACCUGGUCUGUGUUUUCCUUUUUGACCCCAUAAUGCCUGGUCCACAGUAGGUACUCAGCUGGUAUUUGUGGGGUGAUAAGCAAUUGAGGCAUUGUCAUCUGAAGUUGGUCUUCCCCAGCCCUGACUUGAUGAGGGGAGAUGGGCUGUUGCCAUGAAGUGAGGGUGGCCCUUGGGGUCCUGGGUCUGGCUGGGCCUGUUUCCCCAGGCUGGGUGGAGAGCCGGCUGCUGAUGUGGGCUCCUCUGCUUGGCUCUCCUCGUGCCCUUCUUUGCCCCAGCCUUUGAAAGUGGUCAUGGGCUGCCUGUGCCCCAGUCGUUGAUAGCACAGGGAGAGGACCUGCUGAAAGCACUUCCCCGUUUGGAGGUCCUGUUCCGUCCCUUAGAAACUCUGGAGCUUUCCCACACUUUCCCCCUCCCACCGC
rnacentral:lncRNA from 1 species